GCCCUGGUGGCCCAGUGGUAACUCUCCCGCCUGCCGUGUGGGCGACCCGGGUUCCAAUCUCACCAUGGGCA